UACGUAGGGUGCAAGCGUUUGUCCGGAAUUAUUGGGCGUAAAGCGCACGUAGGCGGCUUUGUAAGUCGGAUGUGAAAUCCCUCGGCUUAACCAAGGAAGUGCAUCCGAAACUACAGAGCUUGAGUACUUAAGAGGAUCGCGGAAUUCCCGGUGUAGAGGUGAAAUUCGUAGAUAUCGGGAGGAACACCAGUGGCGAAGGCGGCGAUCUGGGAAGAUACUGACGCUGAGGUGCGAAAGCGUGGGGAGCAAACAGG
rnacentral:rRNA from 1 species